UUUUUCAUGCAGGAGACUCAAGUUGGCUUCGCUAACGGACACAGUUUUGAACUCGUAUAUUAGCGCCAUUUAUUGGUGCUUGGACCACAGCAUCUUCGGAAUUUGUAGACAUCCUGGCAGCUUACAAUUAGUUCGAGGUGAGACACUGAAUUUGAGCAGAAACCAUAAGGAUACUCAAAGGACCUGUGACUCUCAGGAAAUGCAUCAAAUGAGAGGGACAGAUGAAACAGUUUCAAGACAAUGGCAGGAAAAACAUGCUGAAGAUUGAAACAAACCUUGGCUGGAAAUAUUUG